rnacentral:rRNA from 1 species
GACAGAGGGUGCAAACGUUGUUCGGAAUUACUGGGCGUAAAGCGCACGUAGGCGGCUUCUUAAGUCAGGGGUGAAAUCCUGGAGCUCAACUCCAGAACUGCCUUUGAUACUGAGAAGCUUGAGUCCGGGAGAGGUGAGUGGAACUGCGAGUGUAGAGGUGAAAUUCGUAGAUAUUCGCAAGAACACCAGUGGCGAAGGCGGCUCACUGGCCCGGUACUGACGCUGAGGUGCGAAAGCGUGGGGAGCAAACAGG